rnacentral:rRNA from 1 species
UACAGAGGGUGCGAGCGUUAAUCGGAAUUACUGGGCGUAAAGCGCGCGUAGGCGGCUCUGCAAGUCGGGUGUGAAAUCCCCAGGCUUAACCUGGGAACUGCAUUCGAGACUGCAUUGCUAGAGUAUGGGAGAGGGAAGUGGAAUUUCCGGUGUAGCGGUGAAAUGCGUAGAUAUCGGAAGGAACAUCAGUGGCGAAAGCGACUUCCUGGACCAAUACUGCCGCUCAUGUGCGAAAGCGUGGGGAGCAAACAGG